CACGUAGUUAGCCGGGGCUUCUUGGUCAGGUACCGUCAUUUCUUUCUUCCCUGCUGACAGAGCUUUACAUACCGAAAUACUUCUUCACUCACGCAGCGUCGCUGGAUCAGGGUUUCCCCCAUUGUCCAAUAUCCCCCACUGCUGCCUCCCGUAGGAGUUUGGGCCGUGUCUCAGUCCCAAUGUGGCCGUCCACCCUCUCAGGCCGGCUACUGAUCGUCGCCUUGGUCGGGCCCCUACCCCGCCAACAAGCUAAUCAGACGCGGGUCCAUCUUACACCACCGGAGUUUUUCACACCGGGCCAUGCGGCCCUGUGCGCUUAUGCGGUAUUAGCACCUGUUUCCAGGUGUUAUCCCCCUGUGUAAGGCAGGUUACCCACGCGUUACUCACCCGUCCGCCACUCGAAUGCCACAUGAUUUCGACCGAAUCGCAUCAGCGUGGCAUUCCCGUUCGACUUGCAUGUGUUAAGCACGCCGCCAGCCGUUCAGUCCUGGAGCCCAAGGUACUACAAACCUCUCU
rnacentral:rRNA from 1 species